UACGGAGGGAGCUAGCGUUGUUCGGAAUUACUGGGCGUAAAGGGCGCGUAGGUGGCGGGACAAGCGUGCGGUGAAAGCUCGGGGCUCAACCCCGCGUCGGCCGUGCGAACUGUUUUGCUUGAGCACUGUAGAGGCAGGCGGAAUUCCGGGUGUAGCGGUGGAAUGCGUAGAGAUCCGGAAGAACACCGGUGGCGAAGGCGGCCUGCUGGGCAGUAGCUGACACUGAGGCGCGACAGCGUGGGGAGCAAACAGG
rnacentral:rRNA from 1 species